AUUCAAUAGGUACAAUUGGACUUCGUUGAACUUGGUGAUCUUAGAGGUCUUCUCCAACCUAAAUGAUCCUGACUGGUUAUCAUUUCAGUAUCAAUUGAAUAGAUACAGCUACUCCUAUAAAAUGUUGCAGACUUCCACCAAACUCAAAGCAUCUGUACUGGCUACCAGCUUAAGGAACAUCUACGCAGAAGGAGCGUCACCCAUAAAAUGAGGAAUACUGCAGAGAAUAGCAAUCACUGUUUCUGAAAGUACAAGAUUUCUAGGUACAAAAAUAUUUAAACAAGUACUUUAGGAUGGCAUAGAAGCCAAAAGCUUUUGCAAGUCCAAUAACCUGACAAACAGAUGAGGAAUAGAUCCACUGAUGACAUUUACCCAUGAUCAUGGAGGGACAACCUCCAGCACAGAAAGCCUUUGAAGCAUGGCUAGCCAGUAAUAGGAUAUACCACAGAAAGGUUUUUCUAUAUACGAUCAGUUUCUACACCUGCUGCUCGCUGUUGCUGGAGAAACAACCCCAGAGGUGACAGCCUACUGGUCUCACAGAUACCAUAGGUCCUGUAGUCUCAGUAUCUUUGAAGAUAGCCAUCAUGCAAUGUGGAUGGGCCCUCAGGAAGCCCUUGCUCAGACAAGCCAUCUUUCCAGACAAGUGCACAGACUUUUAGUAGCUUCAGCAAUUGGGCUGUGUGUCUAUGUUCACUGUCUUCAUUUUAGACAACAGUUCCUGGCUGGAUGGAGCUGUGUGGGUGAAGAGAUUUCACAAGCCCCACCUGGGCUGAGUUACAAAUCUGCCAUGGAUUAACCAGAGCUCGCUGCAGCCACGGGGUGGCUUGGAGAGACUGCACAGCUGCUCCCCGUGCAUGUGACAUGAAGCAUGUGCCACAUCCGAGGGGAAGGCCAGCCUCCUGUCCUCUCCCCACCAUCCGCCAGUAAAUCUCCUCCUGGAUUAAGCAAGUUCAGUAUAAGGUUGUCUGUUAUCUGGCUUUAUUUCAUACAGAUCUCCUUUGAUUCUGUGUCUGAGCCCACCGCAAUAUUAUUUUUGGUGAACCAUAAUCUGCUCCAGCUCCCAGUUAAAAGUUGGCAGACGCCCAGGACAAGGAAGAUCCCGGAGGCAUGGGACCUUCCUGGGAGCUUGUGGAGUGCCUGCAGAGAGCCUCGCCAGCUGCAGGACCACACCACCGCCCACCAGCAUGGACCGUCCCUGACCCCAGCUGGCAGCCCAUGCGCCUGCAGCUGCAGCUCGCCCAGGCCAGGCCAGGCCACCAUCGCCGUCGCUGGUGAUUUCUGCCAUGAAAGCUGUCUUCUCAGACAGACACCUGCAGCAAAGACACUUCCCUACCAGCCACAUCUCCAAAUAAGCUGUGAUGCCUGCUCGUGUGUCUGGUGGGGGGCCAUUGUCAAAGGGACCACACUUUCAUCGUUUGCCUUAACUUCACUCUUUUCUAAGAUUUUUUAA
rnacentral:lncRNA from 1 species